AGCUUUUGCAACAUUUGAAAACAUGAAAUAUGGAGAAGAAUAUAUGAAACCUAACACAGAAACAUAUAAUUGGGUGAUCCAAGCAUAUACUAGAGCUGAAUCUUAUGACAGGGUGCAAGAUGUGGCUGAGUUACUUGGGAUGAUGGUCGAAGACCACAAGCGUUUGCAGCCUAA